rnacentral:rRNA from 1 species
GACGAACGCUGGCGGCGUGCCUAACACAUGCAAGUCGAGCGGAGUCGAUCGACGGAAGCCUUCGGGCGGAAGAUGGUUGACUUAGCGGCGGAUGGGUGAGUAACGCGUGGGCAACCUGCCUCGAAGACCGGGAUAACAGCCCGAAAGGGCUGCUAAUACCGGAUGUGGUCAAGGAUCCGCAUGGAUUUUUGAUUAAAGGGGAAACCCGUUUCGAGAUGGGCCCGCGUCCUAUCAGCUAGUUGGUGAGGUAAAAGCUCACCAAGGCGACGACGGGUAGCCGGCCUGAGAGGGUGACCGGCCACACUGGAACUGAGACACGGUCCAGACUCCUACGGGGGCAGCAGUGGGGAAUCUUCCACAAUGGGCGAAAGCCUGAUGGAGCGACGCCGCGUGAGCGAUGAAGGUCUUCGGAUCGUAAAGCUCUGUCCUUGGGGAAGAAGGCGAAAGCUUGACGGUACCCAAGAAGAAAGCCCCGGCUAACUACGUGCCAGCAGCCGCGGUAAUG